UUCCUUUCAAACCUUAUUUCCAUGCAACUUUUCUUUAAAAACAUUAUCAUUUUCUUUUAAGUACAACAAGGCUCAACAAUUUCAAAACGAAGCACGGACUUCCACGCGUGCGUCCGGCCCUCAAAGUAAUUUUUUUCCCUAUCAUGCUCUAUUUCGGAGAUACUUGGUCUUUCUUACUAAAAAGGAUGGAUUUAUUUCAUAGUUUGCAGCUUUUAGUUUCGAACCGAGAAAAGUGUCCCCAUUUUCCUUGUUGUAAAGCAAGGUUUUCCUUUUGUAAAAAACGAGCAUGAAGCCGUAUGAAGAACUAGGCUGCCAUUUUACUUUCUUAAACUAGAAUAACAUUGAAGAAAAAGCUUAGACUUUUGAUAAAUAGAAGAAAAGAAACGAAACAGUCACAAGCCUCCCUAUCAUUUCCUUUGAAACUCUUAAGAAUUUAAGUUAUGAAACUUUUAAAACCUUCCUAAAGCAAACCAUUAUCUUUUACUGUUCGGGAAACCAUUUCACUACCAAAAGAAAAAUAAGCAUACAGUCUUCAUGACAGAGGAGAGAGGGUCGAUGGAAUCGAGCUCGACCGUAAGGCUUUUUUAUGGUUGAUCAAGUAGACCUGGCGUCCCUUCAGUCGCAUUUCCCAAUCGGGCACGUAGAACAGAUAUCGGAAAGACAGUUCUUGCAGGUUAUCGAGAUUUCUAUAAGUACAAAUGGAAGACAUGAAUUCAGCUUUAUGCCGCCAACUCCAAACAGAAAGCAUAGCUGUUUUCUCAUGCAUGGAAACAACUCAUGAUACAAAAAAAAAAGAUACAUUUCUGGUUUCUGAAGGCUGUUUCCCUUUUUUGGUACGGCUUCCUCCUUUCGUGCGUUUUGCCUUGCUGAAAGAUCCCCUUCUUCUUCCCUUGGUUUUCCUUCUUUUCUCUUUUGGCCUCGUGCCUGCUACCUAGUGUUUCCU
rnacentral:lncRNA from 1 species